rnacentral:lncRNA from 1 species
AGGGAAGCGGCCCGCCCUUCGUCCUGCCCCUUCGCCCUACUCUGUCACCUCGCUGGAAGGAGUGGAACCCAGACUUGCUGGUCUGAUCCAUGCACAAGGCGCGGCUACGAGGCCACUGUGCCCGGGCAGGGAAGUCGGUGCGGUUGGCCAGCUCCGGGAUGACCCGCCGGGACCCGCUCACAAAUAAGGUGGCCCUGGUAACGGCCUCCACCGACUGCUUACAGAGUCAAGUCCCUGGGAACUUCAGGAAGCAGCCCACCAUGUUUCAACCACUUACUAUGUGCCAUUUCCUGUGUUCAGAGCCUUACACAGGUUAUCUCUAGACCUGACAACAACCCAAGCAAGGCAAGGACUAUUCUCUCGGUCUGCAGACGCUGGCUCAGAUAGCUGGAGCAACUUCCCAAGGUCCCACAGCCAGUAAGGAAAGACCCAGACCUCCCAAGCUCCCUUCCUUUAUUGGCUGCCUGUGGACUACCAGCUCUGGAUGGACAAGGAAAAAGAGGAAAGCAUGAAAGAAACCCUGCGGAUAAGAAGGUUAGGCGAGCCAGAGGAUUCUCUUGGCAUCGUGUCUUUCCUGUGCUCUGAAGAUGCCAGCUACCUCACUGGGGAAACAGUGAUGGUGGGUGGAGGAACCCCGUCCCGCCUCUGAGGACCCGGAGACAGCCCACAGGCCAGAGUUGGGCUCUAGCUCCUGGUGCUGUUCCUGCAUUCACCCACUGGCCUUUCCCACCUCUGCUCACCUUACUGUUCACCUCAUCAAAUCAGUUCUGCCCUGUGAAAAGAUCCAGCCUUCCCUGCCGUCAAGGUGGUGUCUUACUCGGGAUUCCUGCUGUUGUUGUGGCCUUGGGUAAAGGCCUCCCCUGAGAACACAGGACAGGCCUGCUGACAAGGCUGAGUCUACCUUGGCAAAGACCAAGAUAUUUUUUGCCCAGGCCACUGGGGAAUUUGAGGGGAGAUGAGAGAGAAGGAAGCUGGAGUGGAAGGAGCAGAGUUGCAAAUUAACAACUUGCAAAUGAGGUGCAAAUAAAAUGCAGAUGAUUGCGCGGCUUUGAAUCGAA